rnacentral:rRNA from 1 species
UACGAAGGGGGCUAGCGUUGCUCGGAAUCACUGGGCGUAAAGGGUGCGUAGGCGGGUCUUUAAGUCAGGGGUGAAAUCCUGGAGCUCAACUCCAGAACUGCCUUUGAUACUGAAGAUCUUGAGUUCGGGAGAGGUGAGUGGAACUGCGAGUGUAGAGGUGAAAUUCGUAGAUAUUCGGAAGAACACCAGUGGCGAAGGCGGCUCACUGGUCCGGUACUGACGCUGAUGUGCGAAAGCGUGGGGAGCAAACAGG